ensembl:lncRNA
UGCAGAUUUAAAACAUUUCUUUUAUUAUGGAAAGUUUCAUUGUGCAGUCUGGUCUAGGAUAUAGAGGAUUUAUUGGAGACAGCAUGGCUAACUGGACUAUUGCUGUUUUGUGCACAAAUUCAAGAGAAAAACAAAGAAAGUACUAGAAAGCGUAAAGGAGAGAGAGACCAUAGAGAAGGAUCCUAUCAAGUAGGGUAGGGGGACAAAGGCAAGCAUUGCGUAUUUCACCCAUUUUACUUAGUCUUCCUUUUAUGUGUUCUUUUUGGUAAAGGCAGAUUUUUUUUUUUUUUUUUUUUUUUUUCUGACAGGCAGAGUGGACAGUGAGAGAGAGAGACAGAGAGAAAGGUCUUCCUUUUUUCCGUCCCCGACCGGGACUAGAACCCGGUGUGCCGGCGCCGCAAGGCGGAGGAUUAGCCUAGUGAGCCGCGGUGCCGGCCAGUAAAGGCAGAAUUUGCUAUCAAAUCAUACCUGAGUUCCAUCUUGGGGUCUGCAAACAGUAGCUGGCAGCUGUGUGAAUUCUUAAUAUUUCUUCAUCUGUAAAAUAAAAUUGUGACUUCAGCUCUGCACUAUUGUCAUGAUGAUAAAAGGUAAUAUGAGGGGGCUUUAAAGAGUUCAUGGAGGGAGUAGGUGUUUAACCUAGCAGUUAAGACGAAGGCAUCCCACACCAGAGUGCUUGUGUUACAGGAGUUGCAGUUGGUUCUUGUCUAAUGGUAACUAAGAAUGAUGACGCGGACAACUAGGGUGGGUGAGCAAAAGCAAAAGUACAUUUUAUUAAAGAACAAAAACUCUUGCUACCCAAGAGGGUACUCAAGGGAGAGUUCCAGAAACGGCUGGGCAUGAGAGUUUGUAUAGGGAGUGCAUAUCAACUGAUUAAUUAUUUUGCAUAGUUUUGAUAUGUCAGGGAUCAGUUUUGUUUUCCUGUGUCUCUUGGGAACCAGUCAUGGUUGCUAACCAAGAAGAAAUGCUACCUUGCAGACCAAUUGAAAAAUGUGGCAGUUGAGAAAUGUUGCUGACCUGAUCAGCUCACAGGGCUAUGAGGAGACGCCGUGGAAGAGGGGCUGGAUGGUUAGCACUCAGUGCUUCUGCAACAGGCAUUGGCUGGUGAGUAAUAACACCCUUACUCCUCUAAUGAGCAGAAGAGAAGACUGACUUUCGUGGCAGAUUGCGUUUUCCAGAACUGUCUGCAAUGAUAUUUCCAGUCCCAAAUCCUCCUCCAGAACCCUGGCAAGUGUCCUUUCCCCCUGCAUGUGGGCGGGCCUUUGCGUUUCUCCUGACUGACAGAGUUUGAUGGGGGUGAGGCCAGAGGACUGCUGAAGCUGAAUAGUAAAUUGCGACACAGCUUCUGUCCAGUUCCCUCUCACGAAAGUAAGACCCCUGGAGCUGGCAAGUAAGACCCCAGAGCCGUUUGUAAGAUGACAAGUGACCCUGAUAUUGCUGCGCUAGAGAGACCACGUGGAGAGACAAAGAGACCUGCCCAAGGACCCCUACAAGAUCCAAGCCCCAUGUGUUUGAGGCUUUCCAGCCGAAUGUCUGCCCAGUGAGGAAUGGGCACUCAGAAUAGUUCAGCACCAGCCGCCAUCUGACUGCCACUGCACGAGACGCCCUGAGUGAAAGCCUAACUGAGCCUAGUCAACUUCCAAACUUCCAGUGAGAGUAAUAAUAA